rnacentral:ncRNA from 1 species
UUCUGCAAUGUAGUAUCAAUAGGCUUGAUAAAUAAGCUGUUAUUGUUCAGCCGGACAUCACCCUUAGCGGUGGUCAUCUCGCCAUCCAGGGGGAUAUCAAGAUGUAAGCGAGCGCUCACAUCACCGUCCAACUGAAGCUCACCCAGCGCCGCCCCCAGCGUCUCUUUCAGCGGCGUCUCGUUAAAAUAAGGGCCAACUUCUUUACCCGGACCGUUAACAUCGGCAUCAAUUAAUAACUUUUCACGCGAAUAGUCGGGAAUUACCGCGUCGAGAUUGCUGGCGGUCACUUUGCCGAGCAUCGCCUUAUCGGCCUUCAUCCAUAGUCCAUCAUUGAUAAAGUUAAGGUCGAUAUUCAGGCCGGUUAGCGCAGGCCAGUCAGGCUGAAAGGCAAAGGUGGCGUUCUUGAGCGGCAC